AAUAUUGGACAAUGGGGGCAACCCUGAUCCAGCCAUGCCGCGUGUGUGAAGAUGGUCUUCGGAUUGUAAAGCACUUUAAGUUGGGAGGAAGGGCUUUAGGCUAAUACCCUGAAGUUUUGACGUUACCAACAGAAUAAGCACCGGCUAACUCUGUGCCAGCAGCCUCGGUAAUACAGAGGGUGCAAGCGUGAAUCGGAAUUACUGGGGGUAAAGAGUGCGUAGGUGGUUCAGUAAGAUGGGUGUGUAAUCCCCGGGCUGAACCUGGGAAAAGCUUUCAUAACUGCUGAGCUAGAGUACGGUAGAGGGUAGUGGAAUUUCCUGUGUAGCGGUGAAAUGCGUAGAUAUAGGAAGGAAAACCAGUGGCGAAGGCGACUACCUGGACUGAUACUGACACUGAGGUGCGAAAGCGUGGGGAGCAAACA
rnacentral:rRNA from 1 species